GACGGAGGGGGCAAGCGUUGUCCGGACUCACUGGGCGUAAAGGGUGCGUAGGCGGUUUGGUGCGUCGGCGCUGAAAUCCGUGGGCUUAACCCACGGGCGCGUGCCGAUACGACCUGACUUGAGGCUCGGAGAGGGUGGGAGAACUCCUGGUGUAGUGGUGAAAUGCGAUAGAGAUCAGGAAGAAUACCUGGUGGCGCAAGCGCCCACCUGGCCGAGACCUGGACGC
rnacentral:rRNA from 1 species